rnacentral:rRNA from 1 species
AGCGGCGGACGGGUGAGUAAUGCUUGGGAACAUGCCUUGAGGUGGGGGACAACAGUUGGAAACGACUGCUAAUACCGCAUAAUGUCUACGGACCAAAGGGGGCUUCGGCUCUCGCCUUUAGAUUGGCCCAAGUGGGAUUAGCUAGUUGGUGAGGUAAUGGCUCACCAAGGCGACGAUCCCUAGCUGGUUUGAGAGGAUGAUCAGCCACACUGGGACUGAGACACGGCCCAGACUCCUACGGGAGGCAGCAGUGGGGAAUAUUGCACAAUGGGCGCAAGCCUGAUGCAGCCAUGCCGCGUGUGUGAAGAAGGCCUUCGGGUUGUAAAGCACUUUCAGUCAGGAGGAAAGGUUAGUAGUUAAUACCUGCUAGCUGUGACGUUACUGACAGAAGAAGCACCGGCUAACUCCGUGCCAGCAGCCGCGGUAAUACGGAGGGUGCGAGCGUUAAUCGGAAUUACUGGGCGUAAAGCGUACGCAGGCGGUUUGUUAAGCGAGAUGCGAAAGCCCCGGGCUCAACCUGGGGACUGCAUUUCGAACUGGCAAACUAGAGUGUGAUAGAGGGUGGUAGAAAUUCAUGUGUAGCGGUGAAAUGCGUAGAGAUCUGAAUGAAUACCGAUGGCGAAGGCAGCCACCUGGGUCACACUGACGCUCAUGUACGAAAGCGUGAGGAGCAACCAGGAUUAGAUACCCUGGUUGUUCAG